CAUGUAGGCAAUGUAAAUAGUCAUGCUAAGAGGGCAGAUAUCAAAUGAAAUUUAAUUAUAGUAGGCUGUAAUAACACAAUUUUGCACCCUGAGCGUUUUACAAAUGUUCAGGAUCUUUAAGUCUGUUAAAUUCAGACACCUUCAGUAGAUUUAAUCUUAACCUUGGAAUUUAGGUUUUUUAUUGCACAUACAAGAAAUUAAGAUGAAUUCUGAAUGAAACAUUGGCAUGAAAUACAAGUUCCUUCAUAAUAUUUUAAAAUGGAAAAAAAAUUCUGGAAUAUCAUU
rnacentral:lncRNA from 1 species